UUUAUCUGUAAUCUCUACACUGGAGAAAAUCCUCAGCUUUUCCUAAUCCAAACAUCUCUAAAGAGAAAAUCUCUGAAGGUUUGUAGAUUUAAAGCACAGAGAGACUCUGUGUUUAAUCGUCUGCAGUCAGUAAAGAGUCGUGAAGUGAGCUGUGAUUAUUCACUGAUCUCUGACCCGACUGCUCGCUCUCUAAUGAGUGAUAAAUACACCAUGAUGCGUAAGUUAUAAUAAACAAAUUAUGUAUUCCAUUACUUUAUACCUUUGAAUAAUUUGAACUCAUUUUCAUUUCAUCUUUUGUCAGAUUUCUUUACAACAACAACAACGACUCAGACAUCCACUCCUGAAGAGAAACCCAGUGCAGGUUAGUGACUCAGUUUUAAUUACAUUACAUUAGAAUUUCGUGGUGUUCAUUUUACUUUGGUCAUUGUUUUACUGUAGGAACACCAAAAAUGUAUAUCUGUGUGGAUUAUCUUCAGCAGAUGUAAAUUGAACACGACCCACCGUGAUCAGGACGGUGAUGAGGUUUACACAGAGGUGAUGUACACACUCUCCUCUCAGCAGUUCUCAGAGGAAACACAGCUCCUUUCAGCUUCCUCUGAAUGAUGGACACUGAACAGCUUCUGUCUUCUGUCUCAGUUUAAAGUCUGAACUCAAUAAACUCUUAUUUGUUAAAUAACACAAAUAUUCCUAACAAUUCAUUUGAUUCUCAUGAAUGCUUUUCACAGUCUGCCUUUAUCAUGAACCGUGUGUUUUCUAAAGGAAAUCUGCAGGGUGAACUAUUUUACUGUUGAAUUUGAAACGCACAAUAAAUCAUUUCAUCAGAGAUGCACUUUAAA